rnacentral:lncRNA from 1 species
UCAGAAUCCAAGGAAGAGGAGAAGACCUCGGAACUUUGCACUCCCAACUUGCCUGAUGGCUCAAAUGAAGAUUUCUGCUGAGCAGAAGGUGACCAGCAAGACUCACCAGUCAACUCCACCGACCUGGGGGCAGAUUAAGAGAUUGACCCAGCUUGCAGAAGAGGACCUGAAGUCUCAGGACAAACCGUGGACCUCCUGCAAUCUGCUGGUGGACUGAUUUCAUAUUGUUCAAACACGUUUUACAAUCAA